ensembl:misc_RNA Metazoa_SRP Metazoan signal recognition particle RNA
GCCCGGCACAGUGGCACGUGCCUGUAGUCCCAGCUACUCAGGAAGCAGAGGUGGGAGGAUCACCUGAGCCAGCAGUUCUGGGCUGUAGUGUGCUAUGCCAAUCGGGUGUCUGCACUAAGUUCAACAUCAAUAUGGUGACCACCCAGGAGCCAGGGACCACCAGAUUGCCCAAAGAGGGGUGAACUGGCCCAGGUCGGAAAUGGAGCAGGUCAUAACUCCCGUGCUAAUCAUCGGUGGGAUUUCACCUGUGAAUAGCCACUGCACUCCAGCCUGGGAAACAAAGCAAGACCCCGUCUCUU